rnacentral:rRNA from 1 species
UACGUAGGGUGCAAGCGUUGUCCGGAAUUAUUGGGCGUAAAGCGCUCGUAGGCGGUCUGUCGCGUCUGCUGUGAAAAUCCAGGGCUCAACCCUGGACCUGCAGUGGGUACGGGCAGACUAGAGUGCGGUAGGGGAGAUCGGAAUUCCUGGUGUAGCGGUGAAAUGCGCAGAUAUCAGGAGGAACACCGGUGGCGAAGGCGGAUCUCUGGGCCGUAACUGACGCUGAGGAGCGAAAGCAUGGGGAGCGAACAGG